GUGGGGAAUAUUGGACAAUGGGCGAAAGCCUGAUCCAGCCAUGCCGCGUGUGUGAAGAAGGUCUUCGGAUUGUAAAGCACUUUAAGUUGGGAGGAAGGGCAGUAAGUUAAUACCUUGCUGUUUUGACGUUACCAACAGAAUAAGCACCGGCUAACUUCGUGCCAGCAGCCGCGGUAAUACGAAGGGUGCAAGCGUUAAUCGGAAUUACUGGGCGUAAAGCGCGCGUAGGUGGUUUUGUAAGUUGGUGGUGAAAUCCCCGGGCUCAACCUGGGAACUGCCUGAAAAAGUGAAUGAUUAGAGUACGGGAGAGGGUAGGGGAAUUGCCUGUGUAGCGGUGAAAUGCGUAGAUAUAGGGAGGAACACCAGUGGCGAAGGCGACUACCUGGACUGAUACUGACACUGGGGUGCGAAAGCGUGGGGAGCAAACAGGAUUAGAAACCCGAGUAGUCC
rnacentral:rRNA from 1 species